rnacentral:rRNA from 1 species
GACGAACGCUGGCGGCGUGCUUAACACAUGCAAGUCGAACGGAAAGGCCCUGCUUUUGUGGGGUGCUCGAGUGGCGAACGGGUGGGUAACACGUGAGUAACCUGCCCUUGACUUUGGGAUAACUUCAGGAAACUGGGGCUAAUACCGGAUAGGCGCUCCUGCUGCAUGGUGGGGGUUGGAAAGUUUCGGCGGUUGGGGAUGGACUCGCGGCUUAUCAGCUUGUUGGUGGGGUAGUGGCUUACCAAGGCUUUGACGGGUAGCCGGCCUGAGAGGGUGACCGGCCACAUUGGGACUGAGAUACGGCCCAGACUCCUACGGGAGGCAGCAGUGGGGAAUAUUGCACAAUGGGCGGAAGCCUGAUGCAGCAACGCCGCGUGCGGGAUGACGGCCUUCGGGUUGUAAACCGCUUUCGCCUGUGACGAAGCGUGAGUGACGGUAAUGGGUAAAGAAGCACCGGCUAACUACGU